UACGUAGGGUGCGAGCGUUAAUCGGAAUUACUGGGCGUAAAGGGUGCGCAGGUGGUUUAUCAAGCCAGAUGUGAAAUCCCCGGGCUUAACCUGGGAAUGGCAUUUGGGACUGAUAGGCUAGAGUACGGCAGAGGGGGGUAGAAUUCCACGUGUAGCAGUGAAAUGCGUAGAGAUGUGGAGGAAUACCGAUGGCGAAGGCAGCCCCCUGGGUUGAUACUGACACUCAAGCACGAAAGCGUGGGUAGCAAACAGG
rnacentral:rRNA from 1 species